AGUGAACGCUGGCGGUAGGCCUAACACAUGCAAGUCGAACGGCAGCACAGUAAGAGCUUGCUCUUACGGGUGGCGAGUGGCGGACGGGUGAGGAAUACAUCGGAAUCUACUUUUUCGUGGGUGAUAACGUAGGGAAACUUACGCUAAUACCGCAUACGACCUACGGCUGAAAGCAGGGGAUCUUCGGACCUUGCGCGAUUCAAUGAGCCGAUGUCGGAUUAGCUAGUCGGCGGGGUAAAGGCCCACCAAGGCGACGAUCCGUAGCUGGUCUGAGAGGAUGAUCAGCCACACUGGAACUGAGACACGGUCCAGACUCCUACGGGAGGCAGCAGUGGGGAAUAUUGGGCAAUGGGCGCAAGCCUGAUGCAGCCAUACCGCGUGGGUGAAGAAGGCCUUCGGGUUGUAAAGCCCUUUUGUUGGGGAAGAAAAGCAGCGGGUUAAUACCCCGCUGUUCUGACGGUACCCAAAGAGUAAGCACCGGCUAACUUCGUG
rnacentral:rRNA from 1 species